rnacentral:rRNA from 1 species
AACGAACGCUGGCGGCAGGCCUAACACAUGCAAGUCGAACGCUGUAGCAAUACAGAGUGGCAGACGGGUGAGUAACGCGUGGGAACGUGCCUUUCGGUUCGGAAUAACGCAGGGAAACUUGAGCUACUACCGGAUCGGCCCUUCGGGGGAAAGAUUUAUUGCCGAACGAGCGGCCCGCGUCCGCGUAGCUUGUGGGUGUGGUAAUGGCGCACCAAGGCGACGAUCGGUAGCUGGUCUGAGAGGAUGAUCAGCCACACUGGGACUGAGACACGGCCCAGACUCCUACGCGAGGCAGCAGUGGGGAAUAUUGGACAAUGGGCGCAAGCCUGAUCCAGCCAUGCCGCGUGAGUGAUGAAGGCCUUCGGGUUGUAGAGCUCUUUUAUCCGGGAAGAUAAUGACUGUACCGGAAGAAUAAGCCCCGGCAAACUUCGUGCCAGCAGCCGCGGUAAAAC